AUUGAACGCUGGCGGCAUGCCUUACACAUGCAAGUCGAACGGUAACAGGUCUUCGGAUGCUGACGAGUGGCGAACGGGUGAGUAAUAUAUCGGAACGUGCCCAGUAGUGGGGGAUAACUGCUCGAAAGAGCAGCUAAUACCGCAUACGACCUGAGGGUGAAAGGGGGGGAUCGCAAGACCUCUCGCUAUUGGAGCGGCCGAUAUCAGAUUAGCUAGUUGGUGGGGUAAAGGCCUACCAAGGCAACGAUCUGUAGUUGGUCUGAGAGGACGACCAGCCACACUGGGACUGGGGCCCGGCCCAGACUGCUACGGGAGGCAGCAGUGGGGAAUUGUGGACAAUGGGCGCAAGCCUGAUCCAGCAAUGCCGCGUGCAGGAAGAAGGCCUUCGGGUUGUAAACUGCUUUUGUCAGGGAAGAAAUCUUCUGGGCUAAUACCCCGGGAGGAUGACGGUACCUGAAGAAUAAGCACCGGCUAACUACGUGCCAGCAGCCGCCGUAA
rnacentral:rRNA from 1 species